rnacentral:rRNA from 1 species
CUGUCUCCACCCGAGACUCAGUGAAAUUGAACUCGCUGUGAAGAUGCAGUGUACCCGCGGCAAGACGGAAAGACCCCGUGAACCUUUACUAUAGCUUGACACUGAACAUUGAGCCUUGAUGUGUAGGAUAGGUGGGAGGCUUUGAAGUGUGGACGCCAGUCUGCAUGGAGCCGACCUUGAAAUACCACCCUUUAAUGUUUGAUGUUCUAACGUGGACCCGUAAUCCGGGUUGCGGACAGUGUCUGGUGGGUAGUUUGACUGGGGCGGUCUCCUCCUAAAGAGUAACGGAGGAGCACGAAGGUUGGCUAAUCCUGGUCGGACAUCAGGAGGUUAGUGCAAUGGCAUAAGCCAGCUUGACUGCGAGCGUGACGGCGCGAGCAGGUGCGAAAGCAGGUCAUAGUGAUCCGGUGGUUCUGAAUGGAAGGGCCAUCGCUCAACGGAUAAAAGGUACUCCGGGGAUAACAGGCUGAUACCGCCCAAGAGUUCAUAUCGACGGCGGUGUUUGGCACCUCGAUGUCGGCUCAUCACAUCCUGGGGCUGAAGUAGGUCCCAAGGGUAUGGCUGUUCGCCAUUUAAAGUGGUACGCGAGCUGGGUUUAGAACGUCGUGAGACAGUUCGGUCCCUA